rnacentral:rRNA from 2 species
GCUUGCAUUAUGGCUCAAAAUCGUAACAAGGUAGCCCAAUUGUUUGACGGGGCUCAGGAGAUUAACACGUGGGUAACCAGCCUGUAAGACUGGGAUAACUCCGGGAAACCGGGGCUAAUACCGGAUGCUUGAUUGAACCGCAUGGUUCAAUCAUAAAAGGUGGCUUUUAGCUACCACUUACAGAUGGACCCGCGGCGCAUUAGCUAGUUGGUGAGGUAACGGCUCACCAAGGCGACGAUGCGUAGCCGACCUGAGAGGGUGAUCGGCCACACUGGGACUGAGACACGGCCCAGACUCCUACGGGAGGCAGCAGUAGGGAAUCUUCCGCAAUGGACGAAAGUCUGACGGAGCAACGCCGCGUGAGUGAUGAAGGUUUUCGGAUCGUAAAACUCUGUUGUUAGGGAAGAACAAGUACCGUUCGAAUAGGGCGGCACCUUGACGGUACCUAACCAGAAAGCCACGGCUAACUACGUGCCAGCAGCCGCGGUAAUACGUAGGUGGCAAGCGUUGUCCGGAAUUAUUGGGCGUAAAGCGCGCGCAGGCGGUUUCUUAAGUCUGAUGUGAAAGCCCCCGGCUCAACCGGGGAGGGUCAUUGGAAACUGGGGAACUUGAGUGCAGAAGAGGAGAGUGGAAUUCCA